AUGGCAGCGGCCGGAGCCAGUUGAGCAGCAGCGGGGGCAAAGUUGGGCCUGCAUGAGAUUCACAUCCACUUAUGCCAGUGCUCGCCCUGCAGCCAGGGCGUCAGGGACUUCAUUGAGAAACACUAUGUGGAACUGAAGAAGGCGAAUCCCGAUCUGCCCAUUCUAAUCCGGGAAUGCUCUGAUUUGCAGUCCAAGCUCUGGGCCCGCUACUCAUUUUUGCAAGAGAAGAAUGUCUCUUUGAACACCUUCAAUGCUGACCAGGUAACCAGAACCCUGGAGAAUGUGCUAAGUGGCAAAGCUUGAAGUCUCCACAGAAGUGUAUGAGCGAGAGACCCAGAGUCUGAGCUCUGUUGGACUGAAUACAAUAUGGAAAAAUGUGUUCCCCUGUUCCUUAUAAAGCUUGUGCUA